rnacentral:rRNA from 1 species
AAAACGACUCUCGGCAACGGAUAUCUCGGCUCUCGCAUCGAUGAAGAACGCAGCGAAAUGCGAUACUUGGUGUGAAUUGCAGAAUCCCGCGAACCAUCGAGUUUUUGAACGCAAGUUGCGCCCGAAGCCUUUCGGCCGAGGGCACGUCUGCCUGGGUGUCACGC